rnacentral:rRNA from 1 species
UGACUUAAGUGCCUUUGAGGCGCAAAGGUUUGUCUCGUCCACCUUUUUUUGGUCACCCAAGCCCUUGAGGACCGUGAACGAUCUGAAACAAAAGACACGGUAGCGGUUCCAUCCCGAUUUUCGCUUGUGUUGCAUGCUGUGCGGGGUCCGUGAGUUUUACUGUGACUAAUAAAGUGUGACCAAAGCAGUCAUUCGACUUGAAUUAGAAAGCAUGGGAAAACAAAGGAGCAGCCUAUGGGCCACCGUUUCGUACUCUGUUGGAUUUAAAAGUCCAUUGGAGAUUAUGGCGUCAUGUGACCAGCGUCUGGGU